rnacentral:rRNA from 1 species
UACGUAGGGUGCGAGCGUUAAUCGGAAUUACUGGGCGUAAAGCGUGCGUAGGUGGUUCGUUGUGUCUGUGGUGAAAGCCCCGGGCUUAACCUGGGAAUGGCCAUGGAAACUGGCGAGCUGGAGUGUGGCAGAGGAGGGUGGAAUUCCGCGUGUAGCAGUGAAAUGCGUAGAGAUGCGGAGGAACACCGAUGGCGAAGGCAGCCUUCUGGGCCAACACUGACGCUCAUGCACGAAAGCGUGGGGAGCAAACAGG